CACACAUUUCUCUCCUCCUCUCUCUUGCCAUGGCUUCUUCCUCCCUCCCUCUCUCUCAGGCCAUCCUCUCUCGCUCAAUCCCUCGCCAUGGCUCCUCUUCCUCCACCAACUCCCAAUUCUCCCCUUCUUCCCUUUCCCUCCCCACUUUCUCCGGCCUCAAAUCCACCACCUCCACCACCUUCCGCCGCCGCACUCUUCCGUCCCCCGUCGCCGUACGGUCGCCGGAAAUUAGAGCUUCGGCGGCUGUGGAGACUUUAGAGAAAACGGAUAAUGCACUGGUUGAGAAAUCUGUAAAUACGAUACGAUUUUUGGCAAUUGAUGCAGUUGAAAAGGCCAAUUCAGGUCAUCCAGGUUUACCUAUGGGAUGUGCACCUAUCGGACAUAUAUUGUAUGAUGAGAUCAUGAGAUAUAAUCCUAAGAAUCCUUAUUGGUUUAAUCGUGAUCGCUUUGUUCUCUCCG
rnacentral:lncRNA from 1 species